rnacentral:lncRNA from 13 species
CUAUGUGAUCUAGACAAAUUUAUACUCCACCUUAACCCUGCUUAUCUAUCUUUAAGACGCAGGAUGACUGUGGUCAGAAAUUAUUCUUCGUGACCAAAUUGGCUGAAAACUGGUUCUACUAUUUCUCUAAGUGGCAGCAUUCAUUUCUAUAACUUUAAAAAUUGUUUGUCUGCUAAAGAUCAACUAUUUUGUAUUUUUACACUUGGAUUCACCUCAAUAACAUUCCUCAUCCAUGUGUAAAAACAGCAUGAUGUGUGAGUUCGUGGAAAAUAUCUCGAAA